CACAUGCUGUGAGCUCGAUGAGUAGGGCGGGACACGUGGUAUCCUGUCUGAAUAUGGGGGGACCAUCCUCCAAGGCUAAAUACUCCUGACUGACCGAUAGUGAACCAGUACCGUGAGGGAAAGGCGAAAAGAACCCCGGCGAGGGGAGUGAAAAAGAACCUGAAACCGUGUACGUACAAGCAGUGGGAGCACGCUUAGGCGUGUGACUGCGUACCUUUUGUAUAAUGGGUCAGCGACUUAUAUUCUGUAGCAAGGUUAACCGAAUAGGGGAGCCGAAGGGAAACCGAGUCUUAACUGGGCGUUAAGUUGCAGGGUAUAGACCCGAAACCCGGUGAUCUAGCCAUGGGCAGGUUGAAGGUUGGGUAACACUAACUGGAGGACCGAACCGACUAAUGUUGAAAAAUUAGCGGAUGACUUGUGGCUGGGGGUGAAAGGCCAAUCAAACCGGGAGAUAGCUGGUUCUCCCCGAAAGCUAUUUAGGUAGCGCCUCGUGAAUUCAUCUCCGGGGGUAGAGCACUGUUUCGGCAAGGGGGUCAUCCCGACUUACCAACCCGAUGCAAACUGCGAAUACCGGAGAAUGUUAUCACGGGAGACACACGGCGGGUGCUAACGUCCGUCGUGAAGAGGGAAACAACCCAGACCGCCAGCUAAGGUCCCAAAGUCAUGGUUAAGUGGGAAACGAUGUGGGAAGGCCCAGACAGCCAGGAUGUUGGCUUAGAAGCAGCCAUCAUUUAAAGAAAGCGUAAUAGCUCACUGGUCGAGUCGGCCUGCGCGGAAGAUGUAACGGGGCUAAACCAUGCACCGAAGCUGCGGCAGCGACGCUUAUGCGUUGUUGGGUAGGGGAGCGUUCUGUAAGCCUGCGAAGGUGUGCUGUGAGGCAUGCUGGAGGUAUCAGAAGUGCGAAUGCUGACAUAAGUAACGAUAAAGCGGGUGAAAAGCCCGCUCGCCGGAAGACCAAGGGUUCCUGUCCAACGUUAAUCGGGGCAGGGUGAGUCGACCCCUAAGGCGAGGCCGAAAGGCGUAGUCGAUGGGAAACAGGUUAAUAUUCCUGUACUUGGUGUUACUGCGAAGGGGGGACGGAGAAGGCUAUGUUGGCCGGGCGACGGUUGUCCCGGUUUAAGCGUGUAGGCUGGUUUUCCAGGCAAAUCCGGAAAAUCAAGGCUGAGGCGUGAUGACGAGGCACUACGGUGCUGAAGCAACAAAUGCCCUGCUUCCAGGAAAAGCCUCUAAGCAUCAGGUAACAUCAAAUCGUACCCCAAACCGACACAGGUGGUCAGGUAGAGAAUACCAAGGCGCUUGAGAGAACUCGGGUGAAGGAACUAGGCAAAAUGGUGCCGUAACUUCGGGAGAAGG
rnacentral:rRNA from 1 species